rnacentral:rRNA from 1 species
GACGUAGGGCGCGAGCGUUGUCCGGAUUUAUUGGGCGUAAAGAGCUCGUAGGCGGCUUGUCGCGUCGACUGUGAAAUCCCGCGGGCUCAACCGCGGUCGUGCAGUCGAUACGGGCAGGCUAGAGUCCGGUAGGGGAGCGUGGAAUUCCUGGUGUAGCGGUGAAAUGCGCAGAUAUCAGGAGGAACACCAGGCUGGCGAAGGC